GUUAAUUUAUUUAUUGUUGGUAUAAGGGAUUUGACAAUAGAAAUGUACUUACUUUUAUUAUUAUUUUUUCCCCUUUCUGUUCAGGUUUAUUUUAAAGGAGUUUCUUUGGAAUGCAGAAUAUGUAGCCUUUAUUACAGUAUCUAACCAGAAGUUGGCAGUUUGCAACCCAGAAGAGGGCCCUCCCUGGAAUCCUCCCAUGCUGGUACCCCGAUCUCUGAUUUCCAGCCUCAAGAACUGUUAAGAAAUAAAGUGCUGUUGUUGAUGGAACUUUUCAUGACAGCUAUGGGCCCAUGUAUAUCUGAGAAGAGGAUGGCACGGAAAGAGAAAGGAACUCCCAUUAAGAAUCCGGAUUCUG